rnacentral:misc_RNA from 1 species
GAAAUGCGAUAAGUAAUGUGAAUUGCAGAAUUCAGUGAAUCAUCGAAUCUUUGAACGCAUCUUGCGCUCCUUGGUAUUCCUUGGAGCAUGCCUGUUUGAGUAUCAUGAAAUCUUCAAAGUAAAUCUUUUGUUAACUCAAUUGGUUUCUACUUUGGUAUUGGAGGUCUUUGCAGCUUCACACCUGCUCCUCUUUGUUCAUUAGCUGGAUCUCAGUGUUAUGCUUGGUUCCACUCGGCGUGAUAAGUUAUCUAUCGCUGAGGACACUGUAAAAGGUGGUCAAGGUAAAUGCAGAUGAACCGCUUCUAAUAGUCCAUUGACUUGGACAAUACUUUUAUGAUCUGAUCUCAAAUCAGGUAGGACUACCCGCUGAACUUAAGC